UGGGGAAUAUUGGACAAUGGGGGAAACCCUGAUCCAGCGACGCCGCGUGAGUGAAGAAGUAUUUCGGUAUGUAAAGCUCUAUCAGCAGGGAAGAAAAUGACGGUACCUGACUAAGAAGCCCCGGCUAACUACGUGCCAGCAGCCGCGGUAAUACGUAGGGGGCAAGCGUUAUCCGGAUUUACUGGGUGUAAAGGGAGCGCAGACGGCGAAGCAAGUCUGAAGUGAAAUGCAUGGGCUCAACCCAUGAAUUGCUUUGGAAACUGUUUGGCUUGAGUGUCGGAGGGGUAAGCGGAAUUCCUAGUGUAGCGGUGAAAUGCGUAGAUAUUAGGAGGAACACCGGAGGCGAAGGCGGCUUACUGGACGACAACUGACGUUGAGGCUCGAAGGCGUGGGGAGCAAACAGGAUUAGAUACCCUGGUAGUCCACGCAGUAAACGAUGAAUACCUGGUGUCGGGGAGGUAAACUCUUCGGUGCCGCAAGCAAACGCAUUAAGUAUUCCACCUGGGGAGUACGUUCGCAAGAAUG
rnacentral:rRNA from 1 species